UGCAUCACAAAAUUCUAAAUAUUGUGUCUCUCUGCUGCUACUUAGUAUUUGGAAUGUGUUUGUUCUGGGGAUGUCACCUUGUGAGGUCUGAGGGGCUCAUGCUCAGUGUUACACCUGCAGUCACUGUGUGCUUGCAGAGUGCUCCAGACUUGUACACAUGUCACAAUGAGCCACAAGCAGCAAAGCUUAGCACAAGCCAGUGGUUGCUGUUUUCUCAUGCAGAGCCCUGAGAGAGUCUGGACACAGAAUAACUAAUUGACAGAGUGCUUUGAUGAUCUUAAUACAAGUCCUUUCCCCCUAACUCCAAAGAGCAAGCUGCAAAUAGAGAUGAGGUCUUUGUAGAAGACCACCUGCUGAUGCUCUGUGAGGCAGCUUUACCCAUCCUGAAUCAGCUAGAUCUCUUGGCAGUGCUACCUUACUCCUGUCAGUCAAAAGCAUUGAAGGAAUUGCCCUGACUGAGCCAUGGCCACAGAGAAGAUGGGAGCAGAGCACCUGGGGACAUUCCUGCUGCCUCCAGACUGGAAAUGGAUUUAGUGGAAGACGUCAUUGCACGGACACAGCAGUGCUCACUGUGUUGCUGCCUUGCAGCCAGUCCACCUGAGCUGGCACUUCAUUUGUGCAGAACUGCUGGCUCAAUCCUCAAAAUGCCAAAGAGGGAUUACUGUGAACUCCUUUUUGUUUUCACAGGAGUGAAAAUAUUUUGAGUGAUAAAAGACAUCUUCCCACAGAGACAUUGUGCAGAGUCACAAGCACAUCUACUCCCACCCCCUUCAUAGAAUCUGAGGGUCACUGGAUGGGUUGAGUUGAGUUGGGUUGGGAAGGACCACAGUGGGUCAUCUGGUCCAACUUCCCAGCUCAAACAAGAUCAAACCAGUGCACAUGGCACAGGGCUGUGUCCAGAGAGCUUUUGGAUUUCCCUAGAGAAAGAGACUCCACACAUCUCUGGGCAGCCUGUUCCAGCGGCUGGUCACUCUCACAAGCAAAGUCUUGGAAGUGUUCCAUUAAGGUUCUGAGCACUAAUGAGCCAAAUGCCACUAAGCUCUUGUUAGAUUAUGCAAAAUUCAUGCCUUUGCACAAAUGGAUUGAUCUACUUUGCCUAGCUAAGUUCCAGGAAUCAUGAUAAUGUUGUCAUUUUACAAGAUGAAAACCAUGAGGAAAAUGGGUGGGAAAAGGAGAAGCAUUUUUGAGCAAAAACAGAUAUAUAGAGACAAAUUUCAGUUGGAAGUUGUUCCACUUUUUAUCCACAAGGGAAUGAAUCAGAUAAGUUGCACCUAAUUUUUUUUUUCCAACAAAGAUAGUAAUUAAAUUUUUGUAUCAGAUAACACCAUAUUACACUGAAGAAAACUUUUCUUCCAGUACCAAGCAAUGACUUCAUUAGAAUUGCAUUUUAAUGGAGAAUAUGUUAGUUCAUUAUCAAGUAUUUUAUUUCAUGGUUUGUGUAUUCUAAAAACACGCUUGCUCUAGAAAGUUUCUUUUCAGAUUCAGGCCAGCUUUUUGAAAAGCUUUGUGUGAAGAUGCUCUCUUUUAUUUCUUUAAUAUGUCCCUAUUUGUGUGAUCUAGAUAGCAGUCUCUACUGAGGAGGCCACAGUGUGCAAUGGGAUCUCUUACAGUCAAAUACCUGGAAUCCUGUACCAUUAUGCUAAAUGUAGAAAAGAAAGAUAAUGCAAAUUUUUUUUUGUUUUGCUGUUGGUUUUUAAAUUUUAUUUCUAGAAAAUAAUAAAUAGUUGCUGUAGGGGUAGUAAAACGAGGAAGAACAGAAUAUGAAUUUUAUUGGUAAUGGAAAAUGACCCAGAGGCUUUGGGAUAUUUCUUUGAGCAGAGGAUGCAAUUGCAUUAAGGCAGGACUUCAUCAGUCGACCAUGAUGUGAAGAUAGCAGGUAUGUGAGGAAAAGCAGAGCUGAAUAUCCUAAAACUUACCUUGAACUGAACUUGUACUGCUUCUAUUUCUUUACCAAGGUGUUUAUGAUAUUUAUUGACUCUGCAUAUUAAAUGAAUCUCUGUGAAUUUCAGUUAUCCUUCAUACUAUGCUACAGUUUGGCCUCAAACUCAUAGAUUGAAUUUGUUGUUUUGUCUGUAUAUUUGUCUACAGUUGUCUACAUAUUUCUUUCUUUCACAGGAACUUUGCAGGUAAAUGCAGCAACUGUAGGAUAUUUGCAAAUAAAUAAAAUAUAAUACAAUGAACUAUCUGUUAAGGAUCUUUUACAGCUAGUUGAAUGCUCUGAGCUGAAAUGUGGUCAGGAAAAGUAACUGACUUAGUUUAGGGUACUGGGGUAGGGAGAACAUAAGUAUUUAUCCUGAAUUAUACUUCUGUAUGUAUUUUAUGAUCUAUCUCUCUAUCUCUAUUUUUCUAUUUUGCAAAGUUUUGCCUGGCUCAGGAUAUUGAUCAGAGUAAUGAAGCAACUAUCCUUUAACCAGUCUUUUAAUAAAACACUGAUUGUAAUUGAGCAGGGAUGAUUUUUAUCCAAAAUUAUGUUAGAAAAUUAUAUAGCUGCCAGUAUGUUACACUUAUAUGUUCCCAAUCUCUUUCAUUGACUUAAGAGCUGUUGGACUUCCUGGCUGAUAUAUUUUUAUCAUAGUUUGGUUCCUUUUUAUUUAAGCAGCUUUUGUCCAUGUCAUUAGUCUAUUCCUUUCCACUUGCUCUGUGAAGAUUUAAAGAAAAAAACCACAAAAAAAUCAUAUGGAAAGAAACUGUCACUGGCAUGGCCUUCCUAGAUUUACUGAGAGCAGUAAGUAUUACUGUUACCAAAGGGACAAGGGCGCUCAUCUACAAAUCCUCGAGUCUCAUGGAGGAGCCUGUUGUAGAGUGAAGGAGCCCUGCUUUGGAGACACACACGUUCUGCCUCUGCUGCCCUGCCACAGGAUCAGCUCACAUGAUCUGCGUGCAACGCAUCUGUUAAUCCCUUUUGUGUGAGGGAGGGCUGUUCUGAGCCUAAAAUGAAAUCAAAUUGGUUCAAGGGAAAUGAAAACUGGAAGAAUCAGCUUCAUUGAAGAGUUUUAAAUGAGCCCUAGGGCAUUGUCAUUUCUUUUGUUUACACAGAAUGAGAGGUUGUUGUUGUUUGGAGUGCUGUGCUGUUCACCUCUGAAGGAUCUGGUCUCAUGAUCUAGAAGAUGAAAGGUCUGUGGUUUGCUUGGCCCUUAAGACUCUUGUUUCCUGCCUCUGAUUUUCUGGCAGCUGAAGGCACAGGGGAGUAAAGCUUUCUGAAGAAGGCUGUUCUCUUCAAGAGAGAAAAUUGUAAUUAUUUCUGAUGAAAGGAUUUUAAAAGCUUUCAUUAUAGGACCACUACAGAAUGGUUCUGAGUCUUAAGACAGAGGUUACUGUCUGAUAUUCAUUACAAUCUUCUGGCUCCUUCAGGUUUCUGGUGGUUUUUUUUUUUGUUGUUGUUUUGUUUUUUUUUUUUUUUUUUGGUGUGUGUGUGUGUGUGUUUGUUUGGCUUAUUUGGAAAACUUCAAACAGUGUGGUAUCUCUGAGGAGGAAAGGGAAGGAGCAUGUAUUUCUUUGUCACAGGCCAGCCCUUUAUUUUGAAAUAGUUGUGUAUAAAUACAGGAAAAGCAGUUCAGGAGCUUCUGCCUUCAGAAAAAGCUGGCUGUGGACAAAGGAGCAGUAUUCCCUGAGACAAAUAUUGCUGAGAAGAAAUUAUUAGCAGCAUGUCUAUCAAGCUGAAACUGGUGCUGGGCUUUCAUAUCAUAGAUAUGUAUGUACUAGAUAUGUAGUAGGAACUUCUAUCUAGUUAAUACAGACUGGAUAUAUCUAACAUAAUUUUGGUGUUUAAUUCCCAUUGAAAAAAUAUUCUCUUUGAGGAUAAGAUAGAGGAUGAGUCAUAUUUUACUCAGCACAUAAGUGUUUAAUUUUUAAUAAGAGAAAAUAUUUGUUUCUACAGAAAGAGUAUAAGUUACUUUUCUUUUCUUGUUGUGAAGUACCUAUAGAACAAGAAGAAACCAGUCUGUUGAGAACAUAUCACAUUCCACACAAGAAGAAUGUAAGCUUUAGGGACUUUGAAAAGAAAAAUAAACAAAACAGCAACAUGCCUUUUGGAAAAAAAAUUAAAUGUUGCCCAGUUGAAAAUGUUCAUCAUUAGCAUCAUCACAAUGACCUUUUAAAUCAGUCUGUAAUAUAUUUCUAUGAUUUGUCCAAUUUACUGUUUUUGUCAUAAGAUAAUUCCUUGGGAGUGAUCCAUGUUUGCACAGCUAUACUGACAAUACAAUUCUUUAUUUGGAUUCUUCUUGGGGCAAUACAGUAUCUUGGCCAGAACCAUUAAUAACCAAUUUAACAGUAUUUGUGUCAUAAUUUUGGUUCACUGCAGAAAUAAAAUAAUUAAAGAGCAAUUAUUAGACUGGAAAUAAAUGUAACAUCUUCUUCAUUUUAAGAUUUAUUCUAAUUAAAGUAAUAGAAAUAUUAAACACGUGAGGGUAAAUCUCCAUUUUGGAUACUACUAUCUUUAUUCCUUAAAAGUGAGUGAAGAUUUUUUGGAUUUAUGUCACUGAAAGCUGAGCCUGGCUUUGAUUGAGUCUUCUUGUUUGUCAAGAUUUAUAACUUCCUGGUGGAGAGAUUAAAGAAGAUGGAUAUUUUUUUCUGAUGUCCUCCAGAAGAGGGCUUUUACUCUGAUUACAGUGUUUCUCCCAAAAUUCAUAAUGCUUUGUGAGUUGAAAUGGUGCUUCAAGUCCUGGUAAUUCACAAUUGUGUGUUUGGGAGCUGGGACCCUCAGGAUUCCCAGAUCUGUCUUCUGUGGCAGUGAAUUAUGUUGUCCAAGUAGAAUAUUUAACACUCAUACAUUAAAGCUAAGAGGUCUAGGAAAUGUAAAAAAAAAAGUAUAUCAUAAAUGGCAAAGAGAAAUAAAGUCUGCAUAGUCAAUAAUUAAAAAUAUAAAUUAGUGCUUCACAGUGUUAAAAAAUAAGCUAAGCUUUUCAAUUUCUUCAUUUAAAAGAACAAAAAAGGAGCUUUUUCCCCUGCAGACUCAGACAUUUGACUGCAAGAAUCUUGUACACUUGCUACGUUUAGCUUUUUACUGGAGAGAAUAUAGACUUCUUCUUGAAAGAGUUUCAACAAGUAAUUUCCUUAGUUGUUCUCUGAAGUAUUCUUUACAUCCACGAAGAUGAUUAUGAACCACAAGACUAACAUUUUAAUUUUUGUCCAUUACUGCACUCCUGACACAAAAUGCCAUAGCAACAAGGAGAAUGGCAGUAAGGUCAUGUGCUCAUACCGUGCUCGCUUGUGCUGUACUGUUCCAAUAUUCAGUGCUAGAUCUUACUAUUAUUUACCUCUGGCAGGUGUAGUUCCCUGAGUCCCUGAAACUGAAAACACUCUGCUUUUGGCAAGUGGCAAACUCUAGUCACUUCACACCUAAGAUGUGGUGUUAAUAAAGGACUAGCAAUUCUUUAUAAAACUUUAUGCAAAUUAUUCAAAUUUGAUUUAUUUAAAAUUAUGAAGGAAGGUAGUGAAGUUUUAAUGAGCAGCUAUGCUGUGCAUUGUCUGUGCACAAAGCAGAUGUAAUGAUGCAUUAUAAAUGCUUAGAAAAUUUAAUCAGUGUAGAAAAAAUAUAAUGAAAUGGUUGUUUAAACACUGGAAAGCUAAUGUUAUAGUAAUUAGUUCCCAUUGAGCAAGACAUGGUGCAUAUUAUCUUGGCUGUGUUUGAUUAGUGAUCCUGCUUGUGACAUCUUGUCUUUUCUUAAUACUAUUUCAAUAUCAUUUUAAAAAAUUUUAAUCCUAAUCCCAGUUAAAAAUACAAAAACAAGAAUGGCAUCAAAUUCAGUUGUUCUUCUUCUUUUCUGACACAAUCUGCAUGAAAGUCUGCUCUUGAUUUACUCUGGCUAUAUAUAGGAAGGCUGCUUGAAGACUUUCUGCAAGAACACUUGUGCUUGCAGAAAAAAAUUGUUCUGUGGAGGUUGUGGGGGAUUUUUUCCCCCUGAAAAUAAUACCAACAGUUAAUUGUAAUGAUACUCAUAUUUUUAAAAAUGUCCUUGUAGAAGGUGGAUUGGUGUAUACUGAAGUUUAGCUAUGUGUUUUUCCUAAGAUUUCCUUUAGAUGAGUAAGACAUGGAUUUCACCAUUGGUUUGUCUCAGUUCUUUGGGGCCUGUAAAGGCACUUUUUCACUGAUAGCUGUAUGUCAGUCCCUAAAAUGAAACAUAUAGAAAAUUCUUAGCAUUAGUUCUUUUACAAACAUAAAGCUUGGAUAUAAAUGAACAAGGGAUUCUUAUUAAUCUUGUCUACUGAUAAUUAUUUUUAGGAGCUGAUUAGGGCUUUUGCAUUAGGAACUAUCUUUAAUCACAGAGAUUCUGAAUUGUGGCUGAUGUCUUUUAAUCACAUUGGACCUUAAAUGGUAGAUGGAACUGAAUUAUUUUUGAAACCUUCAGUCAAUGAGACUUACUCAAGAUUUUAAGGUGUGUUCAGCUCCUAAUGAACCCAGUAAUGAAGGACUUAUGAGAGUUGAAUUAAAAGCCAUUAUUUGAACGUUUAGACUCCACUAUCCCUGAAGAGCAGAACAGGAGGAGACUGUUUUGCAAAUGCUGAGAAGAAAGAGUAGACUCUUAAAAAAAAAAAAAUCUCCCAGUAAAUAUAAUGGAAAAUAUAAAAAUAAAGUGGACUACAUACCACUGCAUUGCAAAUUCUGCAUGCUCAGGUCUUCACAAACACCAGAAGAGUAAAUAUUUAUUUCUCACUUUCAAGAAGCAUGCAAACCAUGCAUGUAUCUGCCUCUUAUUGAACAAUAGUAGUUAAUUGUUAUAAAACAUGAACCUUGACUGUAAUUUUAACUAGUAAUUUGUGUACAAGACCUAAACUGAUACUGUCAAGGUAAAGUCUGUUAAUGGCUUUAGAGUCCAUAAAAACUUAACAUGAUGAAAAUUGCUAAAAAGAGAAAAGAUCUUCAGUGAAAUAUUCAAAUUUUUCCUUGUGUGAGUACUUGAAGGCUUUUUCAACUUUGUAACAGUUGUACUUUGGAUUUUGGAGUCAGACCAUUCCUAAUUAAUCUUUUUUAAAUGAUUUAAAUGUUUUUGAUUGAUCACUCAGUUUUGUGGACCUGACAUUAUAUAUGUUUUGAAUCCUAAGAUACAUAAUAGUAUAUGUUGGUACACUGCAUAUAUAUUGCUCAGGGAAAUUACCCAUUCUUUUUGAAUAUUUUGGAUAAUUUUGCAAAACUUUGAUUCUAUUCAAAGAAAAGAAGAACCCACUAUUUCAGAAAGGAGUAGCCCACUGAUCUCAUGUCUAGGUACUAGUUGGUAAAAUUAUUACUGUUGGCAUAACCCUAGAAAUAAAAAAAUGAUUUGGGGAUUUGGGGCUAAUUUGAGAAAUGAACAGGUGAAGCUGAAAUAACUUAGGAGAAAGGAGAAAAGGAACAAGAGCCAGCUGCUCCAAGAAUCAUUGGCUUGUAUCAGUGCAGCAUAUGGAAGGGCAAAUCAUAAGUGCAUGAUUUCAUCAUCUCUCUGGUGAAGGCUUUGCCUUCAGAACAACAGUACACAAUUUUUGUUGUGAGUUUUUUUGGUUAAUAAGGAGGAUUGGGUUAUAGCUCCUCCAGGAGGAUCCUGCAGAGUCAGAAAACAAGCCAAGACAUGGCUUUCCUCCAGAAAUGCUUUUUAUGUCAUGGAGAGUCUUAAAUCAAUAGCCUCGAGCUAAAUUGAGCCGACAGUGAAUCAAACUAAUACUCAUUUAAAGAG